AAUAACUGAAUAAAUGGUGGACAAAGAACUGCUCUUUUUUACAAAAGAACUCCAGUUAAUGAAAUGAAAAGACAAUCUACGGAAUAGGAGAAAAUAGUUUCAAAUGAUGCAACCGAGAAGGGCUUGAUCUCCAGAAUAUACAAAUAACUCAUACAACUUGACACCAAAAGAUAAAUGAAUAAAUAACCCAAAUGAAAAAUGGGCAGAAGACCUAAAAAGACAUUUCUCCAAGGAAGACAUAUUAGCUGGCCAACAGGCCCAAGAAAAAAUGCUCAACAUCACUAAUUAUUACAGAAACACAAAUCAAAACUACAAUGAGGUAACACUUUACACUGGUCAGAAUGGCCGUCAUUAGUAAGUCUAUAAAUACCAAAUGCUGGAGGCGGGGUGGAGAAAGGGUGUCCUCCUAUGGUCCAACCACUAUGAAACAGCAUGGAGAUUCCGCAGAAAACUACACAACUACCAUACGAUCCAGCAAUCCCACUCCUGGGCACAUAUGCAGAAGAACCUUUCAUUCAAAAAGAUACAUGCAAAAAAAAAAAAAA
rnacentral:lncRNA from 1 species